GUAAACGCUGGCGGCGUGCUUACACAUGCAAGUCGAACGGGAUCCCGGGGGUUCGCUUCCGGGUGAGAGUGGCGAACGGGUGAGUAAUGCGUGACCGACCUGCCCCAUACACCGGAAUAGCUCCUGGAAACGGGUGGUAAUGCCGGAUGCUCCGGUUGGAUGCAUGUCCUUCCGGGAAAGAUUCUAUCGGUAUGGGAUGGGGUCGCGUCCUAUCAGCUUGAUGGCGGGGUAACGGCCCACCAUGGCUUCGACGGGUAGCCGGCCUGAGAGGGCGACCGGCCACAUUGGGACUGAGAUACGGCCCAGACUCCUACGGGAGGCAGCAGUGGGGAAUAUUGCACAAUGGGCGCAAGCCUGAUGCAGCGACGCCGCGUGCGGGAUGGAGGCCUUCGGGUUGUAAACCGCUUUUGAUCGGGAGCAAGCCCUUCGGGGUGAGUGUACCUUUCGAAUAAGCACCGGCUAACUACGUGCCAGCAGCCGCGGUAAUAA
rnacentral:rRNA from 1 species